AUUGAACGCUGGCGGCAUGCUUUACACAUGCAAGUCGAACGGUAACAGGCCGCAAGGUGCUGACGAGUGGCGAACGGGUGAGUAAUGCAUCGGAACGCGCCCAGUCGUGGGGGAUAACGCAGCGAAAGCUGCGCUAAUACCGCAUACGAUCUAUGGAUGAAAGCGGGGGACCGUAAGGCCUCGCGCGACUGGAGCGGCCGAUGUCAGAUUAGGUAGUUGGUGGGGUAAAGGCUCACCAAGCCAACGAUCUGUAGCUGGUCUGAGAGGACGACCAGCCACACUGGGACUGGGACACGGCCCAGGCUCCUACGGGAGGCAGCAGUGGGGAAUUUUGGACAAUGGGCGCAAGCCUGAUCCAGCAAUGCCGCGUGCAGGAAGAAGGCCUUCGGGUUGUAAACUGCUUUUGUACGGAACGAAACGGCUCUCUCUAAUACAGGGGGUUAAUGACGGUACCGUAAGAAUAAGCACCGGCUAACUACGUGCCAGCCGCCGCAGUAACAC
rnacentral:rRNA from 1 species